GUUAGGGAAGUAAAAUGAUGAGAGCACUGGAUGAGGGUCUAUCGUCUAUGGUCUGUUAUAAUUUGCUUUUUAUGCAAAUAGUGAGCAAAAAUUAAAGCAAAACUGUACAAGUUACAUAUAUUGUACUAUAUCAGUACUAUACACGAAUUUUUAUCGCUGGAUAAUUUUGCGAGUUUUCAUCCAAUUCAGUCAUAUAUAUGCUCAAAAUCCUCGCGGUAAGUGUC